rnacentral:rRNA from 1 species
UGGGGAAUAUUGCACAAUGGGCGCAAGCCUUAUGCAGCCAUGCCGCGUGUAUGAAGAAGGCCUUCGGGUUGUAAGUACUUUCAGCGGGGAGGAAGGGAGUAAAGUUAAUACCUUUGCUCAUUGACGUUACCCGCAGAAGAAGCACCGGCUAACUCCGUGCCAGCAGCCGCGGUAAUACGGAGGGUGCAAGCGUUAAUCGGAAUUACUGGGCGUAAAGCGCACGCAGGCGGUUUGUUAAGUCAGAUGUGAAAUCCCCGGGCUCAACCUGGGAACUGCAUCUGAUACUGGCAAGCUUGAGUCUCGUAGAGGGGGGUAGAAUUCCAGGUGUAGCGGUGAAAUGCGUAGAGAUCUGGAGGAAUACCGGUGGCGAAGGCGGCCCCCUGGACGAAGACUGACGCUCAGGUGCGAAAGCGUGGGGAGCAAACAGG